rnacentral:SRP_RNA from 1 species
GUGCGGGCUAGCCUGGGGGGUUCGGCGUCCCCUGUGACCCGAAACCGUCGGCAUGCGGGAGGCGAAGCUCGAGGGCGGCUCCUGAGUUGCGAGUGCAGCUCGUAGCCCGACGGUGAGGCAUCGUCCUGCGGGGUCUCCGUUGGCGUUGCGCCUUCCGGAGGGAAGGUUGCUCGCCUUGACCACGGGAACCGGUCCAGGCCCGGAAGGGAGCAGACCCACCGUGGGCGGAAGACGCUCGCAGGGUUGCGGUGCUGAGGAAGGCUACGAGGGACUGGCUCGCAACAACGGAGCCCACCGAGAGCACGCCCGCAC